GCACCCGCCUUUCCUUCCACUUCCUGCUCUCGUCUGGCUGAGGUGGUGAAGACACAUUCAGAGCAGGCCUGCUGCAGAGGUGUCAGCGGAACAUAGUGAAUCUCAACAUAAAGAUGAGCAGCACUGGUCCAGAAAGCUUAAGGCUCAGCCUUGUAAGGUCUGUCUGCACGAUCUUCUCACUGAACUCACCAAAGCAGCUGAAACAUGCACAGAGGUGGGAGUUUGACUAGAGGUUUGAGGAAGGAUGCUGCCUGGUGACCAUCUCAACAUGAUCUCUUCAGCGGAUCCUUGAAGAUGAGGACACCAUGAGUUUCAUGAUGGUGCAGCGACUGCUUCAGCAACAUCACUGAGGUGCUCUAGCUGGAGGUACCUGCCUUUGGACAUUUGGGAAGAUGCUGUGAUCCUCUCUUCCUCCGUCGAGUGUCUUCACAGGACCAAGCUGCCUGUCAAACUAUCCAUGAAGCAAGAUGAUGGAGGUUGACAUCAAGUUUUAGAGGUCGUCUGGAUUGUUCAAGCUUGUCCCAGAGUUGAGGUUUGACGCUGUUGUGGUCCGCAGUGUUUGGAACAGUGCUGAAACGCUUGCAACAGGUCUGGCAGCAUGAAGUCAUCACAGUCUCUUGGUCUUGUGCUCACCGGCAGCCACAGUUGGUUUCUGCCCAAACCAGCUGGAUUGUUGCUCCACUGCCUGCUGUUUUGAGGCGUACAUAUGAUGCUUGACAGAUCUGAGUGCCAACAAGGAAGCUUUAUCAACCAUCUUGUGCUGCCAACGGCUACAGUUGAAGUUCCUCUAGAGUUCAACAUAGCCUUAUGAAAACAUGUUAUUU